UGCACCAAAAAGUAAGCCAAGGAAACAGGGAACGAAGUAAAAAACCAAGCACGUUUCAUGUGCCUGUGAGAUGCCUGGAUUCUUCAAGAUGGCGAGACCCAAGGAAAGAAAGGUCAAGUUGUCGGCAAGUCACCUCAGGACUUUUCUGGCUACUUUAUGGAAAUAAAAUCCUGAGGCUGGCCCGUUAGGGAACUACUAAAAUUGUCCAAAUAAGAAAUGAUAGAGUGUUGGAUCAAAAGGUAAGUGAAUAUGCUGAAUGCUGGUCAGAUUGUAUGCACAUUUUU
rnacentral:lncRNA from 10 species